UACGGGGGGGGCAAGCGUUGUUCGGAAUUACUGGGCGUAAAGGGCUCGUAGGCGGCCAACUAAGCCCGACGUGAAAUCCCAAGGCUUAACCUUGGAACUGCGUCGGAUACUGGAUGGCUUGAAUUCGGGAGAGGGAUGCAGAAUUCCAGGUGUAGCGGUGAAAUGCGUAGAUAUCUGGAGGAAUACCGGUGGCGAAGGCGGCAUCCUGGACCGACAUUGACGCUGAUGAGCGAAAGCUAGGGGAGCAAACGGG
rnacentral:rRNA from 1 species